CAUAUAUUAGGUAUACAUUUCAGGCACAAAAUAUACCAUUAUAUGGGGAAAAGAAAGAACCUUCAGUCAGGGGUUUUUACACCAUAUAGAGGCUCUCAAAAGGUAAACAGACACAUAAACAAAACUCCCACCAGCACUUUUUGACGCCCCAUAUACAGCAGUCUGAUAGGAUUCUUUUGUCGGAUGUUAAACAUGGUUAAGGGUGGGACCAUCUGCGACUUAAGAGUGAAUGGUGGUUAUUGUUGUUGUUGUUGUUUGCAGGGCAUAUCGCUGAAGGAGGCAAGAAGAGAAACUGAACAGAACUUCCACGCUCUGCAUCUUUCCCUGAUGUUCUGUCACAAGAUCCUGCCCUUUGUUUAAUUUCCAGGAAAUCUGAGCAGGUCAAGCUGACUCAGUACCAAGAGUUUCGUUAGAUAUCCGUGUGGAACACACAGCUUGCAACGGGGGCCCACCCUCAGCCCUUCUCCAAAGAAAUGGCUAGCAGGCAUAGUCUUUGUCACCAGCAAUCCCCGUAUGUAUUUGGGACGCAAAUGCGGACAGUGUUGUGGCUUUGUUGUGGCCCCUGUUUUAAAGUUUAUCAAAACUUUGGUUGUCAAAGUGGAAUGCUGCCCUAUGUGAUCAAAUUUUUAUUUCUGCCAUAAUACUGCCUACGAAUCUACUUUAGUUCUUUUGGCAUUAGUUCUGUUUUAUUGUUGAAUUAAAGACUUCCCCUGAUAGAAGUGUUGUUGUUGUUUAGUUGU
rnacentral:lncRNA from 1 species